AUAAAGUUUAAUUCUAGUUUAAAGAUUUAUUUAAUUUUUUUUUUACAUGUAAAUUUUUGUAGGAUGUUAGUUAAAUUUUAAAAAUUUAAUUAAAAUAAUUUAUUCGCAGUAUUUAAUUUUAAUAAUUUAAGAAAUUAAGAAUUAGAAAUAAAUUUUAAUAUUAACAAAUUUUGUGCCAGCAGUUGCGGUUAUACAAAAAAUAUAAAUGAAUUUUAUUAGUAAAUAAUUAUAUGAAUUAUUAAUAAAUUAAAAUAGUAUUUAUUAGGUGAAAUUUUAAGUAUUAAAUUAAUUUAUAAAAAAGUUUUUAUUAUUAUGAAAUUUAUAUUUAAACUAGGAUUAGAUACCCUAUUAUUUUAAAUGUAAAAAGUUUUACUUAAGUAGUAUUAGUUAUGUUCUUGAAAUUUAAAGAUUUUGGCGGUAUUUUAGUCUAUUUAGAGGAACCUGUUCUGUAAUUGAUAAUCCACGAUUAACUUUACUUAUUUUAUAAAUUUGUAUACCGUCGUUAUUAGAAAAUUUUAGCAGAAAAUAAAUUUUUAAUAUUUUAAAUUAAAAAAUAUAUCAGAUCAAGGUGCAGUAUAUAUCUAAGAAGAAAUGGGUUACAAUAAAUUUAUUUAUACGGAUUAAAGUAAGAAUAAUCUUUAUGAAGGUGGAUUUAAUAGUAAUAAAAUUUAAUUAAAUUUUAUGAUUUUAGCUCUAAAAUAUGUACAUAUCGCCCGUCGCUCUUAUUAUAAGGUAAGAUAAGUCGUAACAUAGUAGAUGUACUGGAAAGUGUAUCUAGAAUGAA
rnacentral:ncRNA from 1 species